rnacentral:rRNA from 1 species
UACGUAGGGAGCAAGCGUUGUCCGGAAUCAUUGGGCGUAAAGCGCGCGUAGGCGGCUCGAUCAGUCUGUUGUGAAAGUCAAAGGCUCAACCUUUGAAUGCCGAUGGAUACUGUCGAGCUAGAGUCCGGAAGAGGCGAGUGGAAUUCCUGGUGUAGCGGUGGAAUGCGCAGAUAUCGGGAGGAACACCAACGGCGAAGGCAGCUCGCUGGGACGGUACUGACGCUAAGGCGCGAAAGCGUGGGGAGCGAACAGG